rnacentral:rRNA from 1 species
UACAGAGGUCUCAAGCGUUGUUCGGAUUCAUUGGGCGUAAAGGGUGCGUAGGCGGCAAUGUUAGUCAGGUGUGAAAGCCUGGGGCUUAACCCCAGAAGAGCACUUGAUACUGCAAUGCUUUAAGAGGACUGGAGAGGAGAGUGGAAUUUCCGGUGUAGCGGUGAAAUGCGUAGAUAUCGGAAGGAACACCUGUGGCGAAAGCGGCUCACUGGACCAUUACUGACGCUGAGGCACGAAAGCUAGGGGGAGCAAACAGGG